rnacentral:rRNA from 1 species
AGAGUUUGAUCAUGGCUCAGAGCGAACGCUUGGCGGCAGGCUUAACACAUGCAAGUCGAGCGGGCGUAGCAAUACGUCAGCGGCAGACGGGUGAGUAACGCGUGGGAACGUACCUUUUGGUUCGGAACAACACAGGGAAACUUGUGCUAAUACCGGAUAAGCCCUUACGGGGAAAGAUUUAUCGCCGAAAGAUCGGCCCGCGUCUGAUUAGCUAGUUGGUGAGGUAACGGCUCACCAAGGCGACGAUCAGUAGCUGGUCUGAGAGGAUGAUCAGCCACAUUGGGACUGAGACACGGCCCAAACUCCUACGGGAGGCAGCAGUGGGGAAUAUUGGACAAUGGGCGCAAGCCUGAUCCANNCAUGCCGCGUGAGUGAUGGAGGCCCUAGGGUUGUAAAGCUCUUUUGCGCGGGAAGAUAAUGACGGUUCCGCAAGAAUAAGCCCCGGCUAACUUCGUGCCAGCAGCCGCGGUAAUACGAAGGGGGCUAGCGUUGCUCGGAAUCACUGGGCGUAAAGGGUGCGUAGGCGGGUCUUUAAGUCAGGGGUGAAAUCCUGGAGCUCAACUCCAGAACUGCCUUUGAUACUGAGGAUCUUGAGUUCGGGAGAGGUGAGUGGAACUGCGAGUGUAGAGGUGAAAUUCGUAGAUAUUCGCAAGAACCCAGUGGCGAAGGCGGCUCACUGGCCCGAUACUGACGCUGAGGCACGAAAGCGUGGGGAGCAAACAGGAUUAGAUACCCUAGUAGUCC